UCCCUGGUGGUCCAGUGGUUAUGGCUCUGAGCUCCCAAUGCAGAGGGCCCGGGUUCAAUCCCUGGUCAGGGAA
rnacentral:tRNA from 1 species